rnacentral:rRNA from 1 species
GACGAACGCUGGCGGCGUGCUUAACACAUGCAAGUCGAACGGUAAGGCCCCUUCGGGGGUACACGAGUGGCGAACGGGUGAGUAACACGUGAGCAACCUGCCCUUGACUCUGGAAUAACAGUUGGAAACAGCUGCUAAUACUGGAUAUUCAUCGUCUCCUUCCUGGGGGGUGGUGGAAAGCUCCGGCGGUCAGGGAUGGGCUCGCUGCCUAUCAGCUUGUUGGUGAGGUAAUGGCUCACCAAGGCUUCGACGGGUAGCCGGCCUGAGAGGGCGACCGGCCACACUGGGACUGAGAUACGGCCCAGACUCCUACGGGAGGCAGCAGUGGGGAAUAUUGCACAAUGGGCGCAAGCCUGAUGCAGCAACGCCGCGUGCGGGAUGACGGCAUUCGGGUUGUAAACCGCUUUCAGUAGGGACGAAGGGUGACUGACGGUACCUACAGAAGAAGGACCGGCUAGCUACGUG